rnacentral:misc_RNA from 1 species
GUGAAUCAUCAAAUCUUUGAACGCAAAUUGCACUCUCUUCGGAGAGUAUGCCUGUUUGAGGGUCAGUAUUAAUAAAAAUCGGUGUGUUGCUUCUUUGUGACGCUCCGGAGUUUGGGUCAUCUUAAUAUAUCCUUUAGGUUUUAAGAGGCUUAAAAUUGACUUUUUUUUGCGCAUUUUAUUAGAUGUACAUAAAUUUUUUUUUUUUUUAUUCGUCUGUUUUAAUGUUCAAAAUCAUAUUAGAUGCAACCAUAUCG